rnacentral:rRNA from 1 species
UACGUAGGGGCAAGCGUUGUCCGGAAUCAUUGGGCGUAAAGAGCGUGUAGGCGGUCCGGUCAGUCGGUUGUGAAAGUCAAGGGCUCAACCCUUGAAUGCCGGCCGAUACUGCCGGGCUAGAGUCCGGAAGAGGAGAGUGGAAUUCCUGGUGUAGCGGUGGAAUGCGCAGAUAUCAGGAAGAACACCAACGGCGAAGGCAGCUCGCUGGGACGGUACUGACGCUGAGACGCGAAAGCGUGGGGAGCGAACAGG